GACGGAGGGUGCUAGCGUUGUUCGGAAUGACUGGGCGUAAAGGGCGCGUAGGCGGCCGCUUGCGUCGGAUGUGAAGGCCCGGGGCUCAACCCCGGAACGGCAUCCGAUACGGGGCGGCUCGAGACCGAGAGAGGUGAGUGGAAUACCCAGUGUAGAGGUGAAAUUCGUAGAUAUUGGGAAGAACACCGGUGGCGAAGGCGGCUCUCUGGACCGAUACUGACGCUGAGGCGCGAAAGCGUGGGGAGCAAACAGG
rnacentral:rRNA from 1 species